GCUCAUUCACAUCAUGGACUGACAUGUUGGCUAUAUUGCACCAAGUUCCGCAUCAACAGCAGCAAGCCAAGACACAAACAAGAGGGUGUGUAACUAAAAACACAUUCACCUCUUUCGCUCCUCUCAAUUGACGUGCAAGACUAGUCAGGUAUGAACUUAAGGCAAACACUGCAGGAGCAAUCUGUGUACAAGUACUGUGUCUCUUAAACCCCUGCAAUCUGUGUGCAAGUACUGUAUCUCCAAGGUGGUAUGCAGAAUUAGAAUACAGACCCGGCUUGUGCUGAGCUGUCUAACUGUCACCUCUGCCCCUUGUAGACAUCUGCCUUGUGUGGACAGAUUAUCAAAGCAUGGAUGGCGAUGGCAUGGCUAAUACAGCAUUCACCUUCAUCUUCCUCUUCCUCAUCAUGCUCUUUUACAGUGCAGGAGCCACUAUCAUCAAGGUGAAAUGAAGAAUCCUUCCCCCAAUGUACCGUACAUUUUAUUCUCCUUCAUAUAUUAAUUUGCCUGUGUCAUCAACCUGUGCAUUUUUAAAGCUUUUGUUAACUAAUGCUAUUUAGACUUUGUACGUACCUAUUUGAAUGUGAUUUGACAUUUUGGAUUUCAAUCAUGAUGGCAAUAAAAAUGAUUAAAAAGGGA